UCUCGAUUGGUCUAGUGGUCAGGAUACCUGCUUGUCAUGAGUUACAAUUCCGCAGGUGGCCGGGGUUCGAUUCCCCGAUCGAGAG